UUUCUUCUUCUUCUUCUUCUUCUUCUUUCUUG
rnacentral:sRNA from 1 species